rnacentral:rRNA from 1 species
AUUGAACGCUGGCGGCAGGCCUAACACAUGCAAGUCGAAUGGUAACAGGAAACAGCUUGCUGUUUCGCUGACGAGUGGCGGACGGGUGAGUAAUGUCUGGGAAACUGCCUGAUGGAGGGGGAUAACUACUGGAAACGGUAGCUAAUACCGCAUAACGUCGCAAGACCAAAGAGGGGGACCUUCGGGCUUCUUGCCAUCAGAUGUGCCCAGAUGGGAUUAGCUAGUAGGUGGGGUAACGGCUCACCUAGGCGACGAUCCCUAGCUGGUCUGAGAGGAUGACCAGCCACACUGGAACUGAGACACGGUCCAGACUCCUACGGGAGGCAGCAGUGGGGAAUAUUGCACAAUGGGCGCAAGCCUGAUGCAGCCAUGCCGCGUGUAUGAAGAAGGCCUUCGGGUUGUAAAGUACUUUCAGCGGGGAGGAAGGGAGUAAAGUUAAUACCUUUGCUCAUUGACGUUACCCGCAGAAGAAGCACCGGCUAACUCCGUG